UGGGGAAUAUUGCGCAAUGGGCGAAAGCCUGACGCAGCGACGCCGCGUGGAGGAUGAAGGUUUUCGGAUCGUAAACUCCUGUCAGAAGGGAAGAACGGUUCAUGGUUUAAUAGAUCAUGUUCUUGACGGUACCUUCAGAGGAAGCACCGGCUAACUCCGUGCCAGCAGCCGCGGUAAUACGGAGGGUGCAAGCGUUAAUCGGAAUCACUGGGCGUAAAGCGCGCGUAGGCGGCUUGGUAAGUCAGAUGUGAAAGCCCACGGCUCAACCGUGGAAUUGCAUUUGAUACUGCUUGGCUUGAGUUCGGGAGAGGGUAGUGGAAUUCCAGGUGUAGGAGUGAAAUCCGUAGAGAUCUGGAGGAACACCGGUGGCGAAGGCGGUCACCUGGCCCGCAACUGACGCUGAGGCGCGAAAGCGUGGGGAGCAAACAGGAUUAGAUACCCCGGUAGUCC
rnacentral:rRNA from 1 species